GAUCUCCUCGGCUUUGAGCUUCUCCUCCUCCCGCAUCUCGUUGUCGGACUCCAGGGCAUCAAAGACGGCGGCCCCGACCAGCAGGAGUGGGGAAGAGCAGCCUCCAGAUCUGGUUUGAAGAUAACGUUCUCCAAUGGAAAGGAAUCAUCAAGAUGCAUACAUGCUGAAACAGUGUCACCUCAGGAUCUUACCACUGUAGCUCUUGCCCUUCCCUAGACACAACAAAUCCUGC